rnacentral:rRNA from 1 species
UACAUGGGGUGCAAACGUUGCUCGGAAUUAUUGGGCGUAAAGCGCGCGUAGGCGGUUAUUCAAGUCGGGAUGUGAAAGCCCUCGGCUUAACUGAGGAAGUGCACCCGAAACUGAGUAGCUAGAGUACCAAAGAGGGUCGCGGAAUUCCCGGUGUAGAGGUGAAAUUCGUAGAUGAUCGGGAGGAACACCGGUGGCGAAGGCGGCGACCUGGGUGGAUACUGACGCUGAGGCGCGAAAGCGUGGGGAGCAAACAGG